rnacentral:tRNA from 1 species
UGAGGAUGUAGGUCUGUGGUUGGGCAGUAGCCUAGUGUGUGUCAGGCCCUGGGUUCGAUCCCCAGCACCUCAA